UUUCUCUCACACUCUUAUUUUCUCUUCCAUUUUAGCGCACCAGAAAAUGUGGAAGCUGAAGCUACGGUCACCUCUCUCCACAAUCCUCCGCCGAACUCUCCCCUCAGCCUCUCGUCUCUCUAUCGACCCCACUUCGCAGACUCCUCUUUCCACUGCUUUCUCUUCCUUGAUCGGUGAAGAGGAAGAUAGGGUUUUUCGGUUCCGGAGAUGCCAUUUUUUCGGGAAUCUCGUAUUUUCCGGGAAAAAUUUCAGCUCUGAAUCUGCCGAGAAAGUUGUCAUCCGGUGCUGGAACUGUACUUCCGUAGCUCAAACGGCGCCGUUUUUGUCAUGCGAGAAUUGUCGCAGCGUUCAACCUGUUGUUCCCUCGGUUGAUUACUUCCAGAUAUUCGGAUUGGAGAAAAAGUAUGAAAUUGAGGAGGGAAAUCUUGAGGGCAAGUACAAAGAUUGGCAGAAAAAACUGCAUCCCGAUCUUGUUCAUUCUAAAUCUGAGAGAGAAAAAGAGUAUGCUGCUGAACAAUCUGCUCGGGUGAUUGAUGCUUAUCGCACUCUUGCUAAUCCAUUGGCAAGGGCAAUAUACAUUCUGAAGCUUGAAGGAGUGGUUGUGGAUGAAGAAGGAACCAUUUCGGAGCCAGAGCUGCUAGCUGAGAUUUUGGAAAUCAGGGAAGCUGUUGAAGAAACUGCGGACUCCCAGGAAUUAAGACAGAUCCAGGCUCAGAUACAAGAGAAACUGAAGCAUUGGUCUGAAUCCUUUGCAACUGCAUUUCAAAGCCGAAAAUAUGAAGAAGCUCGCACUGCUAUCCAGAGAAUGACUUACUACAAGCGUGUAAAUGAAGAAAUAGUCAAGAAACUUUAAUACACGAGCAUCUCUGAUACAAGGUCUAAUUCCCAUUUCUGCAACUUGGCCUGCUGCUGUUGAAUUCAACUAUUACUUCUUGGUUAGAGAUAUACAUGAGCAGAUGACCAUUGGUGAUGCUCUGAUGUAAUUUUGACGGUUGACCCUCAUUGUUGAGGUAGCUCUACCAGUCAACACUUGGCCUGGAAAUCAGGAAGAAAGUGGAGGAUUCCUAAAUAAGACCCAUUGAUACUUUUCACCAGGUUAAUUUUCUAUCAUCGGACUAGGUUUCGACUCUUUUGGUGUUGUCUAUUGGGUUGAAUAAUGACAUUGCUUCUGGGACCAGGGCAGUUGCCAAGAGCAUUCAGUCUUUGUAAUGGCUAAGUUUGUGCACCUAAUAAAUGGAAAAAAAGAACGUUUGUACGCUUAAUAAUCAUGUUGAUUUGUAAUAAUUUUAGUGACCAUAUGAUAAUUGAUAGCAUGGAUUUCUUUUGGUGGAAACUCUGAACUGAAGGGUUGUGUUUGACAAAGAUAAUGUUCAUGGCUGACUUCAGUGUUAGGUUUUUCAUAUGUUCCUUC